rnacentral:tRNA from 2 species
GCGGAAGUGGCGAAAUUGGUAGACGCACCAGAUUUAGGUUCUGGCGCCGCAAGGUGUGAGAGUUCGAGUCUCUCCUUCCGC